rnacentral:rRNA from 1 species
AGUGAACGCUGGCGGUAGGCCUAACACAUGCAAGUCGAACGGCAGCACAGUAAGAGCUUGCUCUUACGGGUGGCGAGUGGCGGACGGGUGAGGAAUACAUCGGAAUCUACUUUUUCGUGGGGGAUAACGUAGGGAAACUUACGCUAAUACCGCAUACGACCUACGGGUGAAAGCAGGGGAUCUUCGGACCUUGCGCGAUUGAAUGAGCCGAUGUCGGAUUAGCUAGUUGGCGGGGUAAAGGCCCACCAAGGCGAGGAUCCGUAGCUGGUCUGAGAGGAUGAUCGGCCACACUGGAACUUAGACACGGUCCAGACUCCUACGGGAGGCAGCAGUGGGGAAUAUUGGACAAUGGGCGCAAGCCUGAUCCAGCCAUACCGCGUGGGUGAAGAAGGCCUUCGGGUUGUAAAGCCCUUUUGUUGGGAAAGAAAAGCAGCAGGUUAAUACCCCGCUGUUCUGACGGUACCCAAAGAAUAAGCACCGGCUAACUUCGUG